ACCCGCUGAACUUAAGCAUAUCAAUAAGCGGAGGAAAAGAAACCAACAGGGAUUGCCCUAGUAACGGCGAGUGAAGCGGCAACAGCUCAAAUUUGAAAUCUGGCUUUCGGGCCCGAGUUGUAAUUUGUAGAGGAUACUUUUGAUGCGGUGCCUUCCGAGUUCCCUGGAACGGGACGCCAUAGAGGGUGAGAGCCCCGUCUGGUUGGAUGCCAAAUCUCUGUAAAGUUCCUUCGACGAGUCGAGUAGUUUGGGAAUGCUGCUCUAAAUGGGAGGUAUAUGUCUUCUAAAGCUAAAUAUUGGCCAGAGACCGAUAGCGCACAAGUAGAGUGAUCGAAAGAUGAAAAGCACUUUGAAAAGAGAGUUAAAAAGUACGUGAAAUUGUUGAAAGGGAAGCGUUUAUGACCAGACUUGGACUUGGUUAAUCAUCUGGGGUUCUCCCCAGUGCACUUUUCCAGUUCAGGCCAGCAUCAGUUUUCGCCGGGGGAUAAAGGCAGCGGGAAUGUGGCUCUCUUCGGGGAGUGUUAUAGCCCGUUGUGUAAUACCCUGGUGGGGACUGAGGUUCGCGCUUCUGCAAGGAUGCUGGCGUAAUGGUCAU
rnacentral:rRNA from 1 species